AUUGAACGCUGGCGGCAUGCUUUACACAUGCAAGUCGAACGGUAACAGGCCGCAAGGUGCUGACGAGUGGCUAACGGGUGAGUAAUGCAUCGGAACGUGCCCAGUCGUGGGGGAUAACUACUCUAAAGAGUAGCUAAUACCGCAUACGAUCUAUGGAUGAAAGCGGGGGACCGUAAGGCCUCGCGCGAUUGGAGCGGCCGAUGUCAGAUUAGGUAGUUGGUGGGGUAAAGGCUCACCAAGCCAACGAUCUGUAGCUGGUCUGAGAGGACGACCAGCGACACUGGGAGUGAGACACGGCCCAGAGUCCUACGGGAGGCAGCAGUGGGGAAUGUUGGGCAAUGGGCGGAAGCCUGAUCCAGCAAUGCCGCGUGCAGGAAGAAGACCUUCGGGUUGUGAACUGCUUUUGUACGGAACGAAACGGCUCUGGUUAAUACCCGGGGCUAAUGACGGUACCGGAAGAAUAAGCACCGGCUAACUACGUG
rnacentral:rRNA from 1 species